rnacentral:rRNA from 2 species
GAACGCUGGCGGCGUGCCUAAUACAUGCAAGUCGAACGAACUCUGGUAUUGAUUGGUGCUUGCAUCAUGAUUUACAUUUGAGUGAGUGGCGAACUGGUGAGUAACACGUGGGAAACCUGCCCAGAAGCGGGGGAUAACACCUGGAAACAGAUGCUAAUACCGCAUAACAACUUGGACCGCAUGGUCCGAGUUUGAAAGAUGGCUUCGGCUAUCACUUUUGGAUGGUCCCGCGGCGUAUUAGCUAGAUGGUGGGGUAACGGCUCACCAUGGCAAUGAUACGUAGCCGACCUGAGAGGGUAAUCGGCCACAUUGGGACUGAGACACGGCCCAAACUCCUACGGGAGGCAGCAGUAGGGAAUCUUCCACAAUGGACGAAAGUCUGAUGGAGCAACGCCGCGUGAGUGAAGAAGGGUUUCGGCUCGUAAAACUCUGUUGUUAAAGAAGAACAUAUCUGAGAGUAACUGUUCAGGUAUUGACGGUAUUUAACCAGAAAGCCACGGCUAACUACGUGCCAGCAGCCGCGGUAAUACGUAGGUGGCAAGCGUUGUCCGGAUUUAUUGGGCGUAAAGCGAGCGCAGGCGGUUUUUUAAGUCUGAUGUGAAAGCCUUCGGCUCAACCGAAGAAGUGCAUCGGAAACUGGGAAACUUGAGUGCAGAAGAGGACAGUGGAACUCCAUGUGUAGCGGUGAAAUGCGUAGAUAUAUGGAAGAACACCAGUGGCGAAGGCGGCUGUCUGGUCUGUAACUGACGCUGAGGCUCGAAAGUAUGGGUAGCAAACAGGAUUAGAUACCCUGGUAGUCCAUACCGUAAACGAUGAAUGCUAAGUGUUGGAGGGUUUCCGCCCUUCAGUGCUGCAGCUAACGCAUUAAGCAUUCCGCCUGGGGAGUACGGCCGCAAGGCUGAAACUCAAAGGAAUUGACGGGGGCCCGCACAAGCGGUGGAGCAUGUGGUUUAAUUCGAAGCUACGCGAAGAACCUUACCAGGUCUUGACAUACUAUGCAAAUCUAAGAGAUUAGACGUUCCCUUCGGGGACAUGGAUACAGGUGGUGCAUGGUUGUCGUCAGCUCGUGUCGUGAGAUGUUGGGUUAAGUCCCGCAACGAGCGCAACCCUUAUUAUCAGUUGCCAGCAUUAAGUUGGGCACUCUGGUGAGACUGCCGGUGACAAACCGGAGGAAGGUGGGGAUGACGUCAAAUCAUCAUGCCCCUUAUGACCUGGGCUACACACGUGCUACAAUGGAUGGUACAACGAGUUGCGAACUCGCGAGAGUAAGCUAAUCUCUUAAAGCCAUUCUCAGUUCGGAUUGUAGGCUGCAACUCGCCUACAUGAAGUCGGAAUCGCUAGUAAUCGCGGAUCAGCAUGCCGCGGUGAAUACGUUCCCGGGCCUUGUACACACCGCCCGUCACACCAUGAGAGUUUGUAACACCCAAAGUCGGUGGGGUAACCUUUUAGGAACCAGCCGCCUAAGGUGGGACAGAUGAUUAGGGUGAAGUCGUA